rnacentral:lncRNA from 1 species
UUUUUUUUUAAAGUGCCGAGUUUAUGGCUUUUUAAACACGGCAUUUCGGGUUUUAUCUUGCCGGUGCAAUGGACAAGUUAGUGAAUUUAUUCUGUUUGUAGUCUAAAUGGAACGUGUUACUUUUCAGCCCAGAUACCCUCAAUCUUCCGAAGUGGAAGAUUCUAAAUCUGCAAGGCGUAAAUUAAUUCUUUAAUACGGCAUGAGGCACACAUUAGUUUUUCCUAUACAACAAAUGCAAUUAAAAAAUUUAGAUGACUCCAACUUUGACAAUUACUUUUUAAUAAAC